ACCUCGGUGGUGUAGUGAUAGCACGCGUCCCCGGUACUGAUGAAACGCAGGUUCGACUCCUGUUUGAGAUC